GAUGAACGCUGGCGGCGUGCCUAAUACAUGCAAGUCGAGCGAACGGACGAGAAGCUUGCUUCUCUGAUGUUAGCGGCGGACGGGUGAGUAACACGUGGAUAACCUACCUAUAAGACUGGGAUAACUUCGGGAAACCGGAGCUAAUACCGGAUAAUAUUUUGAACCGCAUGGUUCAAAAGUGAAAGACGGUCUUGCUGUCACUUAUAGAUGGAUCCGCGCUGCAUUAGCUAGUUGGUAAGGUAACGGCUUACCAAGGCAACGAUGCAUAGCCGACCUGAGAGGGUGAUCGGCCACACUGGAACUGAGACACGGUCCAGACUCCUACGGGAGGCAGCAGUAGGGAAUCUUCCGCAAUGGGCGAAAGCCUGACGGAGCAACGCCGCGUGAGUGAUGAAGGUCUUCGGAUCGUAAAACUCUGUUAUAGGGAAGAACAUAUGUGUAAGUAACUGUGCACAUCUUGACGGUACCUAAUCAGAAAGCCACGGCUAACUACGU
rnacentral:rRNA from 1 species